ACCCGGGUGGCUCAGUGGUUGAGCAUCUGCCUUCGACUCAGGUCCUGAUCCCGGGUCCUGGGAUCGAGUCCCACUCUGGAUU
rnacentral:tRNA from 1 species